rnacentral:lncRNA from 1 species
CACAACAUGGACACUAUUCAACUGCAAAUUUUCUUGGAGAUUAAUAGUCAGUGAGAUAUCUAAGGUGCUGACUUGCCUACUGUUAUUUUAUUGUGUGCUCGUUAUAUUGUGAUUUAUUGUAGAGCUUAACUACUGCUGCUGUGAUAUAAAUGAGGGCCGCCUUGUUGGGAAACCAGAACUGUCUUUGGAAUUGGCAAGCUUAGCAGUAAAGCCCGUACGAUAUAUUUGGGAAACGGAAACCAGGUGCCAUCCUUGGAAUCAGCUAUAUACUAGAUCCGGAGUCUCUGGAUCCCGUAGUCAAUUUAGGCCGACGCGGACGGAGGUGGGUAAUGACAAUAUGUUAUUAUCUAUUUGGGGUUUCUCCAAAAUUCUAUCUUGCCAAACCAUGGAUUGGUGAGCAGGUUGAGUGAAAUGUCUAUCCCUUCGGUGUGAAGCUAUGUUGUGAUAGUUUGCCUUUGAUCGAAUGCCUCUUGGUUUGUUGGGCUUUGUUCUGUGAUGGAAUAUGGAAUGAGGCUUUGAACUUUGUCCUGAUAGAUGAUUCUUAGCAUAAUCUGCCAUCUAUUAUGAUCACAUUUGCAAAACCCCGGGGUGUUAGAACUGGACAAACUAUUAUUGAGAUGCAAGAAUCACAGUAUAUCUAAACCCGGUUAUAGAGUUGGAAAUUUAUGGUGAAGUAGUAUAGCCUGUUGAGAACUUUUCACGGUAUCAGAGUCAGUUGACCCAUGUGAAGACGGGUUGCUAUUGUUUGCAUCUGAUUAAUCCCAUUGGUGAUCUCUGGGCUCACAGAAGCUAUAUGUUGUGCUAUUGUGAUAAAACACAUGCUUGUGAUUGUCUGUUGAGCCUUGGAAGUUGGAAGAGAGCCGUAUGUAUGCAAGACAACCUAAAGAAGGCAGCUUUAUUGUUUAUCAGAGACUGGUUUUUCAGGGGCAGCCUGGUCAUCACUCAUCACCGAUUCUCUUGUGAAAAUGUUUUCAAUUAUUAUACAUGUCUUAUUAUGCUGUUACAGUGUUCAGCGCAGAUGCAACUCCCUAUCCACAGUCCUCGGAUGCCUGACAAGGGAUCUUCAAGUGUAUGCCAAUCGCAAGUAUAACUUCAGUGUGUUUCGCUAUGAUCUACCCUUGAAGAAAUUACCGAUCCAUGAAUUUUCUUCCGGAAGUUUAGUAGAGUUCAUUUAGGAAAGGACUUCAGUUGGGAAGAUGUCAGUGCAUGUUCUCACAGGGUUUCCUCUAUCUAAUGAAUGGAACAAAUCCUGGCUCUCACGUCUCUUAGGAUCCGGGUUUUCCAAUGAAAUCACAAUAUUCUUGUAACUUUUUUUUUUUUUUUGGGAGCAACACAGUUACCGUUUAGUGAUGGGGGGGGAGAAUGAAGAAAGAAGGUGGUGCUGGUGAUCUAGUUAGAGCAGAGAACUCCAGAGAAAACACGAGGACAAACAACACCGGAGAGACAUCAGAAUAAGUAGGGGGGACACGAAGGUUUAACAGAAGAAGAAUAGGAGCUCCACCUUUGGGUUGUUUAUGAUUACAGCAGGAUCUUUAGUGACUUGGGUGUUUUAUGUCUUUUUAUUUCUCUGUUAUUUUUAUUUUGACUUUAUCUAUCACAAUUCUACGCGAAACUCAGCCCCUGAUCCCAUCCCUUAGGUUGCAGUGGCUGGAUACUGCAGCAUACCUAGUCAGUGUCAUUAACUCUUUGUAAAAAUUUUAAGCUGAUUGCCACCUCUCCAAAGGAAAAGUUAAUUAAUUGUAUCUUAAACCUACCCUUAUGUCAAUGUAGCCCAGCAAAUAACCAACAUUUAAGAAGGCAGGGCAGUUGAUCCAAAAAUUCCAGUUGCAAGUGAGCUGCAGGUACUAUUGCAUGAUGAGCGAUAUAUGCUGGGCACCUUCAGAUGACAUGUUUGUGGAAUUAAUGUUUCGGAUAGAACGUUUCAUUCAUCUCCCUUUGGUUUAGAGAAUUUAAUGGAACCCCCAGUACUUCUUUCCAAAUUCAUGAAAGGAUACAGCUGCUAUUGAG